rnacentral:misc_RNA from 1 species
UUUUUGGGUCUUCCAUUCUCAUUAUCCACUUCCAUUUCAGAUGAUUCAUCAAGGUCAACAAUCAUUUCAUCUGCUUGAAUUGAUUUCAAUGCCCCCAAGGUUUGAGCUUUAGAUGCAUCAGGCAGGCGUUCCAUUAGCACAUUUGAGAAGUUUUUGUAUAAUGAGAGGAACAAUGCCUCAUUUUCAUCAAGGGCUCGAGCAAGCAGAGCCUCCUUGGCCUCCAAAGAAUCACGCACGGAUAUCUCCUCUUCUUUUGUUUUUUCAGCAUUUGAUUUUAUGGGCUUCAUCUUUGCAGGAUUUUCACCAAGCACAGGUUCACCAUCCACCAGAGUGAGCUUUGAUUCAGCAGCAUCUAACUCAGCUUUUGCCUUGGUUGCAGCCUCUUCUGCUGAUAAAACAUUCUUCUGUAGAGACAAGAUCUCUUUCCUUAAAUCAGAUAUUCGAUUGUAAGUCUUACUGACAGCAUUUCUUAGAACCUCCCAUGGGCGAUCAGAUGUAUGAAAUUGCUCAAUGUUUGCUGAGGAGAAGACCCAUCUGACAAUAGCUAAAUUAGAUAUAAGCCGAUAACCCAUCAUUCUAUCAAUCGUAAUAGCUGUCAUUUGGGCAUUGUUCUUCCAAUAGGAACUCACUUCAGCUAUCAGCAUGAUCUGCUUAUCUUGAUCGUGACAUAUUCGUGCAAUGACUUGGCCAUAUCUCUCUAAAACAGUAAUCAAAUGAGUGAAACUUUUAGACCCAAUGUCGAGAAGAGUUUGGACAACCAUUGUAAGCGUAACUUCCAAACCAUGAUGGGGAAGUACACUUUCUUCUACCCAUGAGAUUAUUUCUCGGGCAGUUUGCCUUCCUUUAACCUUGUUGCUGAGUUCUGCAGAAAGUGCAUGUUGUUCA